UGGGAUGUAGCGCAGUUGGCGAGAGCGGCUGUCUUAUACACAGUAUGUCAUGGGUUCAAGUCCCAUCAUCCCAA
rnacentral:tRNA from 2 species